AUACGGAGGAUCCGAGCGUUAUCCGGAUUUAUUGGGUUUAAAGGGUGCGCAGGCGGCCAUUUAAGUCAGCGGUUAAAUCGUGGGGCUCAACCCCAUUCUGCCGUUGAUACUGGGUGGCUUGAUUGCGGUUGAGGUUGGCGGAAUUCGUUGUGUAGCGGUGAAAUGCAUAGAUAUGACGAAGAACACCGAUUGCGUAGGCAGCUGACCAGACCGCAAAUGACGCUCAUGCACGAAAGUGCGGGGAUCGAACAGGAUUAGAUACCCUGGUAGUCCGCACAGUAAACGAUGAAUACUUGUUUUCGGCGAUAUAAUGUCGGAGGCAAAGCGAAAGCGAUAAGUAUUCCACCUGGGGAGUACGCCGGCAACGGUGAAACUCAAAGGAAUUGACGGGG
rnacentral:rRNA from 1 species